rnacentral:lncRNA from 1 species
GAGCAUUCAAUUUGGAUCUAUGAGCAAGAAGUUACCGUUUCCGGAAUGGACACAUGUCUAGACGCCUCUCUCUGAUCGUGUAAAUGCACUGCGGAGAUGAGCCCUCCAGGAAGCCUUCCACUUCCCAAGCGCCGAUAGUUUCGUCACCAAAGAUUGAGCUAAAUGAGUUAUCUUUCUUAUGGAACUGGUUUUAGGUCAUUUGGAGUUAUGAGCUGAAAGUUACACUGAACAGAAGAGAAGAUGGUCAAUUCCGGUUUUAAGAGAUGCGACUGUAAGCUAAGUGUUGUGUCCUACCUCGGCGUGAAUACCUCGGCAUGUAUGCCGAGGAGGCAUGUUUACGAAGCCUUCGGACUAUACCUCGAGGUAGGACUUCGGUCUUUCAACACCAAGGCUCCCUUGAUCACCAAAAUGAUCACAAAACGACUAAGUGUUGAAGCAGACCUUGGCGUGAACCCUUCAUCAUGUUAUGCCGAGCUCCUAUGUUACACAAACCUCGGGUACCAAGCCCCUCGGCAUGUUAUGCCGAGGUCCUCAUCUCUCCAACCCAGAUCACAAACAAACCCUCUUCACGUUUCAAAGCUUUAACCGGAUCAAAGUCCAAGUCUCAUGCAUGUUCUUCAAGUGUUCAUCAAAGUUUCAACCCAGCACAUGACCCCCUGGUGUAUGGCCC